GUGAAAGGAAAAAAAUAUUAAUCAGCGCAGGAAAUUUCGAGGCAACUUCCUCCAGUAUCGAGCGCAGCGCACGCAACCCACCUCUCUCGUUGUCCCCGCACACGCAACCUCUCGCACCGCACGCCAACGCAGCCGCCGCCUCUUCUCUUCCAUCGUCGUCGUCGCCUCGUCGGAUCUGGGGAGAAAGAGAGUGCGAGUCUCCUACCUCCGCCGCGUCCGCGUCCGCGUCCGCAUCACUCUUCCGCGCCCCGGCGCCGCCGCGUCCGCCACUUCUCCUCGCCUUGUCGUCCCCGUUCCUCUCUCAUAGCCGAGCUCCAGCCCUCCACCAUCCCCUCCUCCUUGACCGCCUCUCCCCUCGUCUGAAGGAGCACGGGGCUGGCAGCUGCGCCUGAGCCGCCACAAGGCCGUCAGGUAGAGAAGAUCCCGUGCCCACGGGCCGUUCCCGCCGCUGUCCGACGUCUCGGAGUUGCCAGAGUCGCCGUCGCCAUAUGAAGACGAGUCGGCGGGGAGAUGCUGGUGUUGGGAUUCGGGAGGGUCCAAUCUGCAGCAAAUCCUUGGGAGAUAUGACGGUGUAUUUUGGAAUGCUCGACGGCUUGCUGGCUGCAGAAGAGCUUCCUGAGGUGUAUUUUGGAAUAUACCGGAACCGAUGCCAGGAUAUACUCUGUAACGACUGCGGAAAAAAGGGCUUUCUUGGUUCCACUGGCUGUAUCACAAAUGCGCCGCCUGUGGCUCGUACUACACCAGAGUUAUCAAGACCGAGGCACCAGAUUGUUCCAUGUCGAAUUAACAGGUCCGCCGACGAGGAUGUGGAUGAGGACGAGGUCGAGCCCCUUCCCGGCGCGAUCUCCUUUUGGAGGCUAUUCAACUUCGCCGACGGCCUCGACUAGGCACUCAUGGCCGCUGGCACAGUUGCCGCCGCCGCCCACGAUGCAGCAUUCGUAGUCUACAUGCACUAAUGGUCCUUGAAUUUUCUCGACUGUGAGCGGAUUUAGUCUGCUCUCCACGGUCGUAGCGACGAGCCCCUCAACCAAUUUAAGCAGGUAAACCGUUGCUUCACAUGCUCGUCUCUUAAUUGCACGCUUGACAGGGCCUGCAACGUGAUAUUUAUUGCCUGACCCCCGAAGGUAAAUUCAACAACAAAUGUGUUUAGGAUCCACUUUAUUUCUGCAAGUUGAAGAAGUAAAGAUAUGCAUGCUGUGUUCUACUCUAUGGCCCACCAGGAACCGGGAAGACAGUAUUAGCAAGGGCUCUCGCCAGUAACAUCGAUGCUAACUUUUGGAGGUGUUGUUUUUACUUGAUUGAUGGUACUUGGUAUUUUCAUUAUGCGAGUAUUACAUUACACUGACGUAUUGUCUAAAACCAGAUUCUGUCAAGUGCUAUAAUUGACAAAUAUAUUGGAGAAAGUGCUCGUUUAAUCAGAUAAAUGUUCAGCUAUGCACGCGAUCACCGCAUAAGUUUUGCUCCGGCUUUCUUUUUGCAAAGUUAAUUGGUCUUAAGCUUAAUUCCCUUAUUAUCUGUAAGACACACAUGGUGGCAGAUGGUUAUGCAUCUACUGUUGCUGAGAUGCAAGCUAUGACUUGAUAGUUCCCUUGACUGAGAUGUUGUGCCAUCUAAAUAUAUUCCGGUCCAACACUAUAAAAUUUUAAACUUCAGAUCUCAGUAUCAGUUUUGCCCAACAAGAAGAAAUCAAACUGAUCUGAAUAUAAGUACAAGUGCAUUUCUUAGAUCUUUAAACUUAUAUCACCAUUUAGUUUAUUUAUGCUGCCCACAAAUUUUGUUUCAUCUUCUUCAAAUUAUUAUUUCUAGCCAUGCAUUAUCUUCAUGGAUUAAAUCGAUGCAAUUGGUAGGACAUGAUUUAGUGAGGAACCAGUAACGACCGUGAGAUCCAGCGCACGGUGAUGGAGCUUCUUAAUCAGUUAGAUGGAUUUCAUGAGCUUGGCAAGAUCUGCUUGCUCUGCAUGGAGCGAGAGCAUAGUCUGAAGAACUUCUCUGAUGAAGGUGAUGGGCUUCAAAAAAUUCUGCUAUAACUGUGGUGAAUCUGCCGUUUGAAAUUACAGGGCCAUGGACUCCAAUUUGCAGUGACGAAGUUUAUAUCAUGUUUGUGCUCAGUCUGUUAUUUCCCUUUAUCAAACACAUGGAUCUACAGCACACUAAUGGCAAGUUUGGAUUCACGGCGUUUGCGGCAUCCGCACUUUAACUUCUUGCUGGAUUUGGUGGGCAACGAUGUCAUUUGAUGUAGAACUGAGCUUGAACGCCGAUGCUGCCUCUGCCUGCUCAAGACACUGGCAAAGUCGCGUGGCCGAAGGCAGUCCCAACAGGUGGCUGCACUACGACAAGCGGGAAUGGCGAUGACCGCUACAUCUUCCGCGGCUACCGUGAGAGGUUGUGGGCUGCGUCGAGGGCUCUACUGCGAUGGCGAUCUGAUGAUGAAGCAGAUGAGGAGCUGCUCGAGCAGGCGAUGAUGAAGGCGAGCAUCGGCACGAUGGGGUUGGCGGAGCGUGCAGAUGAAGCUGCAGCGGCAAGUCUCGUGGCUGAAAUACAACGACAUAGAGUGGAGCAUCUGGUAGAUACAUCGUCUUUAGAUUGCUUGUUUAUUUGCUGAGUUUGAUUCACUUUUGGACAACCAUCGCAUGUAAUGCAUCUUCUAACCAGGUAUAUAACCUGCUGCCACCCCCUAAGAUUAAUAUACUUCCACCUCUAAUGGAUUUUGCCUGUAUUACUGUCAUUAAUUCAAGUAUGUGUCCAC
rnacentral:rRNA from 1 species